rnacentral:tRNA from 3 species
GCCCCCAUAGCUCAAUGGACAGAGCGUUGGUCUUCGGAACCAAAGAUCGGGGUUCGAUCCCUCGUGGGGGUA